rnacentral:lncRNA from 10 species
ACAACGGCGGAGGCCGCCGGGUUCCCUGACGUGCCAGUCAGGCCUUCUCCUUUUCCGCAGACCGUGUGUUUCUUUACCGCUCUCCCCCGAGACCUUUUAAGGGUUGUUUGGAGUACGGAGUCUCACUUUGUCACCCAGGCUGGAGUGCAGUGGCGCGAUCUCAGCUGACUGCAACCUCCUCCUCACAGGUUCAAGGGAGAUUCUCCUGCCUCAGCCUCCCGAGUAGCUAGGACUAUAGUUUAGAUGCAAAAUCCACAAGUAUUCAAGUGAUUGUUAAAGAGGGAGGCCUGAAGUUGAUUCAGAUCCAAGACAAUGGCACCGGGAUCAGGAAAGAAGAUCUGGAUAUUGUAUGUGAAAGGUUCACUACUAGUAAACUGCAGUCCUUUGAGGAUUUAGCCAGUAUUUCUACCUAUGGCUUUCGAGGUGAGG